UACGUAGGUGGCAAGCGUUAUCCGGAAUUAUUGGGCGUAAAGCGCGCGCAGGCGGUUUCUUAAGUCUGAUGUGAAAGCCCACGGCUCAACCGUGGAGGGUCAUUGGAAACUGGGGAACUUGAGUGCAGAAGAGAAAAGCGGAAUUCCACGUGUAGCGGUGAAAUGCGUAGAGAUGUGGAGGAACACCAGUGGCGAAGGCAGCCCCCUGGGCUGAGAUUGACGCUCAGGCACGAAAGCGUGGGGAGCAAACAGG
rnacentral:rRNA from 1 species